rnacentral:lncRNA from 1 species
GCAUAGAGAGGUAGUUAAGUGGGAGAAACUUGUUCUCCGGUGAUAUUCUUGGUGGCCUCUGACUGAUUCCUUUCUCGAUAUAUCCAUUGCCAUUUCCAUAGCCGAUGGUGCAUUGAUCCUGUGAAGCACAAAUCUGAUAUCAACAUCGCAAAACACAUUGGUGCUGAGGUUAAAGAAGAUUUAAGUCAGCCAGUUCGGGUUUUUUACCCUUUGGAAGUUUAUAUUUUCACAUUGUCGUUGUGAUGAUCAUUUUACUCUACAUUAUAAACUCUACUAAUGGUAUUAGAGCUUGUGCUGUAGGAAAUUUGUGAAAAAAAAAAGCUGGCUGGAACAUGACCUGGAAUGAAGCAGAAAGCGGGAACGUAUUUUGCAAAACUGCUAGAACAAACCAAUGGACGAUUAAGAAGUGAUUUGUAGACCAAGGUGCAGCUGGGUGGCAGGCGCAUGAUGGCAACAACAAUGCAUGUAGUGGAGCAUUGAGCCCAUGCGCACAACUGUGAUGAAAGACGUGUGGCAAAACCCAGUGAUGGUGAAAACAGACAGUUUGUUGAUUGUGGAUUUUUGACCUCCUGGUGGUGUUGGUUUUCUAUUUGGUGUACUGUGAAUGUAGACAUAGCCUCAGGCAAAAAGAUGUAGUGGAGAAAGCUUUUUCGUUGGUGGCCAAUCGUGGUUCCUAUGGUUGCUGUAGUCAUUGGAUGAUUUAGGAAAGCUUGUGGAGGCCUUAAAUUUGCAAAAGACUCGUAUCUCUCCUUAAAAUACGAACCAACAAAUUGGUUCGCUUGGUUUUCGCGUUCUAACACCCUCUCGAAUUUACAAUUGUGAUAUUGUGAUUUUUGCAACCAUACACUUUGUAAUAUUUGACUCUCGCGA